UGGGAGAUCGUCUAAAGGUAGGACAGCAGGUUUUGGCCCUGCUAAUCGGGGUCCGAUUCCCUGUCUCCCAG
rnacentral:tRNA from 1 species